GAGUUUGAUCAUGGCUCAGAUUGAACGCUGGCGGCAUGCCUUACACAUGCAAGUCGAACGGCAGCACGGGAGCUUGCUCCUGGUGGCGAGUGGCGAACGGGUGAGUAAUGCAUCGGAACGUAUCCUGGAGUGGGGGAUAACGUAGCGAAAGUUACGCUAAUACCGCAUAUUCUGUGGAGCAGGAAAGCGGGGGACCUUCGGGCCUACGCGCUCUUGGAGCGGCCGAUGUCGGAUUAG
rnacentral:rRNA from 1 species